rnacentral:Y_RNA from 1 species
AGCUGAGUGUAGUGGUGCUUACAAAUUACCAACCAGUUACAAAUUUCUUUGUUACUUCUUGACUCCCACUGCUUUCUUUAACCAGCUGGGC